AUGAUUGAGCCUGGCUAUUUCAAGACUGCUGUGACCAGUAAAGAGAGAUUCUUAAAGAGCUUCCUGGAGAUUUGGGACGGUCCAGCCCAGAGGUCAAGCAGAUCUAUGGCCAGAAGUUCGUUGCAUCCUAUAAGAAAUCAGCUGAACAAUUGGAGCAGACUUGCAGGAUUUGUCAUGGUGACCAGCACAGCAGAACAUCACGCUGGUGCCUGCCACCCCUUUUCGCUACUCAGUAGCUGGGAUGCCAAGCCUCCUACCUCCCAAAGGCACAUGCCACCCACCUUCCUGGUGGUGCCAUUAUCUACUGGGGUUCUCCAAGCCAGCCAGGAGCUCUAUGAAAAUGAGGAUCAGGUGCAUGGUUGCAUGGAUUUGGGGUGUGCUUUAUGAGGGGUGAUGUAUCUUGGGAGAAAUAAAGUGGGCGGGCCGUUGUGCAUCAGGUCAGUGGGGCUGAUCUCACUUCUUCUACCUCCCUGUCCACGUUUUCUCCUGGAGAUAAUUCUGCUCUCUGAAGAUGUUGGUAGGAAAGUUUCAAGUUAAGCAGCUGAGAAACAGGAACCAAAUAGUGCUCCUGGGUGCAUUGUCAUGUUAGGUGGCCACUCAAGGGUCCAAGCCUCUUGUGCUAACAACUGGGGUGGGUGUGAGCAGGUGGAAGGAGCCUCAGCCCAUGCCAUUACCAUGCCCAUAGGCAAUAUGUUAAUUCUGGGCCAGUCUGGUGUGAGUUGGAAAUGGCUGGGACGUGGGGGACACAUGCUCAUGAAGAUCCUGUGGGACGGGCAGCCAUUUAUGGCUACAUAGGCCUCACGAGUCAUCCCAGCAGCAGUGGCUGGAAGGUGGUGUCCUCAGUAGGGAUCUGUGCAGAGGACAAAUAAAUCAGUUUUUUAUUUGUCUUGAAAGCAUGCACUUCCUUUGAUUGUUUUGAUGUUGAAAAAGUUGAUAGUUUCACCCAUAUGCAGUGAUUUGAAUGUUCUUGUGAAGUUACACUUGGAUACCAGACACAUGAGAUUGCAAUCCCUCUCUGAGUCUGGGUUCCCGCCUUUGCUCAGGACCCAGAAUCACUCCAUCCAGAAAUCCAGGUCACUGUGAGCCUCUCUAGGACUACAAGUCGAAGGCAGAAAAGAGUGAGCAGAAUGAUCUCCUCUAAUGGAAUUCUCUGCUGAAGGAGCAAAGUCCCAACAGGAAGUCUAUC
rnacentral:lncRNA from 1 species